CGAGCGGUAAGGCCCUUCGGGGUACACGAGCGGCGAACGGGUGAGUAACACGUGAGCAACCUGCCCCUGACUCCGGGAUAAGCCGGGGAAACCCGGUCUAAUACCGGAUAGGACGCUCCGCCGCAUGGCGGGGUGUGGAAAGGUUCUUUUCCGGUCAGGGAGGGGCUCGCGGCCUAUCAGCUUGUUGGUGGGGUGAAGGCCUACCAAGGCGAUUACGGGUAGCCGGCCUGAGAGGGCGACCGGCCACACUGGGACUGAGACACGGCCCAGACUCCUACGGGAGGCAGCAGUGGGGAAUAUUGCGCAAUGGGCGGAAGCCUGACGCAGCGACGCCGCGUGGGGGAUGACGGCCUUCGGGUUGUAAACCUCUUUUACCACCGGCGCAGGCCCGUGCUUUUGUGCGGGUUGACGGUAGGUGGGGAAUAAGGACCGGCCAACUACGUGCCAGCAGCCGCGGUAAUACGUAGGGUCCGAGCGUUGUCCGGAAUUAUUGGGCGUAAAGAGCUCGUAGGUGGCGUGUCGCGUCUGC
rnacentral:rRNA from 1 species